rnacentral:rRNA from 1 species
AGAGUUUGAUCCUGGCUCAGGAUGAACGCUAGCGGGAGGCCUAACACAUGCAAGCCGAGCGGUAUUUGUUCUUCGGAACAGAGAGAGCGGCGUACGGGUGCGUAACACGUGUGCAACCUACCUUUAUCAGGGGAAUAGCCUUUCGAAAGGAAGAUUAAUACUCCAUAAUAUAUUGAAUGGCAUCAUUCGAUAUUGAAAACUCCGGUGGAUAAAGAUGGGCACGCGCAAGAUUAGAUAGUUGGUGAGGUAACGGCUCACCAAGUCAAUGAUCUUUAGGGGUCCUGAGAGGGAGAUCCCCCACACUGGUACUGAGACACGGACCAGACUCCUACGGGAGGCAGCAGUGAGGAAUAUUGGACAAUGGGUGAAAGCCUGAUCCAGCCAUCCCGCGUGAAGGAUUACGGACCUACGGUUUGUAAACUUCUUUUAUAUAGGGAUAAACCUCUCCUCGUGAGGAUAGCUGAAGGUACUAUAUGAAUAAGCACCGGCUAACUCCGUGCCAGCAGCCGCGGUAAUACGGAGGGUGCAAGCGUUAUCCGGAUUUAUUGGGUUUAAAGGGUCCGUAGGCGGGCCGAUAAGUCAGUGGUGAAAUCUCAUAGCUUAACUAUGAAACUGCCAUUGAUACUGUCGGUCUUGAGUAAAUUAGAGGUAGCUGGAAUAAGUAGUGUAGCGGUGAAAUGCAUAGAUAUUACUUAGAACACCAAUUGCGAAGGCAGGUUACCAUGAUUUAACUGACGCUGAGGGACGAAAGCGUGGGGAGCGAACAGGAUUAGAUACCCUGGUAGUCCACGCC